GUGGUCAAGCUAAUAAGGGCUCAUGGUGGAUACCUAGGCACACAGAGGCGAAGAAGGACGUGGUUACCUGCGAAAAGUUCCGGGGAGUUGGAAGCAAACAGAGAGCCGGAAAUAUCCGAAUGGGGCAACCCUGAAAACUGCCUGUUGAAUAUAUAGACAGGAAAGAGCGAACCUGGCGAAUUGAAACAUCUUAGUAGCCAGAGGAAAAGAAAUCAAAAGAGAUUCCCCGAGUAGCGGUGAGCGAAAGGGGAAGAGCCUAAACCAAGGGGUAUACCUCUUGGGGUAGUGGGACAGCAACAUCGAAUCCAGAGACUAGACGAAGCAGCUAAAUACUGCACCAGAGGGGGUGAAAGUCCUGUAGUCGAAAGUCAAAGGAUAGAAGCUGAAUCCCGAGUAGUACGGGGCACGAGAAAUCCCGUAUGAAUCAGCGAGGACCAUCUCGUAAGGCUAAAUACUACUGUGUGACCGAUAGAGAACAAGUACCGCGAGGGAAAGGUGAAAAGAACCCCGGGAGGGGAGUGAAAAAGAACAUGAAACCGUGAGCUUACAAGCAGUGGGAGUCCGAUUAAACGGAUGACCGCGUGCCUGUUGAAGAAUGAGCCGGCGACUUAUAGGUACUGGUAGGUUAAAGCGGGAAUGCUGGAGCCAAAGGGAAACCGAGUCUGAAAAGGGCGCUAAUCAGUAUUUAUAGACCCGAACCCUGGUGAUCUAACCAUGGCCAGGAUGAAGCUUGGGUAAAACCAAGUGGAGGUCCGAACCGACCGAUGUUGAAAAAUCGGCGGAUGAGCGGUGGUUAGGGGUGAAAUGCCAAUCGAACCAGGAGCUAGCUGGUUCUCCCC
rnacentral:rRNA from 1 species